rnacentral:tRNA from 1 species
GCACCCAUAGCUCAACUGGAUAGAGCAUCGGUCUACGGAACCGAAGGUUGCAGGUUCGACUCCUGCUGGGUGUA